rnacentral:rRNA from 1 species
GACUACAGGGGUAUCUAAUCCUGUUUGCUCCCCACGCUUUCGCGCCUCAGCGUCAGAUGAUGCCCAGUAAGCUGCCUUCGCCAUGGGUGUUCCUCCUGAUAUCAAUGCAUGUCACCGCUACACCAGGAAUUCCACUUACCUCUGCAUCCCUCUAGUCUGCCAGUAUGCGAAGCAGUUUCCGGGUUGAGCCCUGGAGAUUUCACUUCACACUUAACAGACCGCCUACGCGCUCUUUACGCCCAGUAAAUCCGGACAACGCUUGCACCCUACGUCUUACCGCGGCUGCUGGCACGUAGUUAGCCGGUGCUUAUUCUCAGGGUACCGUCCUAAGUCUUUCCCUGAAAAAGGAGUUUACAGACCUAAAUCCUUCAUCCUCCACGCGGCGUCGCUGCAUCAGGGUUUCCCCCAUUGUGCAAGAUUCCCCACUGCAGCCGCCCGUAGG